UCAGCUGUUUAACAUACGGCUCAUGUACGACCACGAACCUGUCGACGAUUCAGUUUGUUCGCAGCUUUGUCCCACGUUUGUUGUAGCCAGCCGAGUGAAUAUUUUAUUUAAAAUGGCAAGCGAAUAUUUAAAAGAUUUAUUACGAGAAAAUGGAGAUGUUGGUAGGAGAUACAUCGAAAAAUUGGGAUUAAUUAGCAAUCUGGACCCAUACACUAUUCAGAAUAGUGAAUUGGACUAUUCCUUAAACGGCAUCCCUCCCAUUACAAACAUGGACAUCAUUGUGUAUUUAGUGAUAAAACACAGUUUUUUUAGCCAUGAACCAUGAGGUUACAAAAGUUCACAAGCCUUUAAGUAUUUUCAAGGUGGAUUUGUUGUAAAUAUUGGGACGAAGAUAAUUAACAAUUAUUAUGUUUUACUGGGCAAGGUAGAACACUCUCAAAGAACCACGACAAAUCCCUCGGAAGCUUGGUGCAUUAUUGCGAAAGAUGGCAGUGUGUUGACUGCACAUUGCACAUGUAUGGCAGGAAACGGUGAAGUAUGUAGCCACAUUGGUGCCUUAUUAUUUACUGCCGAAUAUGCGAACAGUCGUAAAGAGGCCAUGUCCUGUACCUGUACAGAUGUACCCUCGCUAUGGCCUGUCCCUUCAUUGGCUACAAAUGUCCCUAUUGUACCUGUACAUGAUAUGGACUGGGGAAAUGAACCAGCUUCACAGGAUGCAUUAGAAAAAGAUAUUCCGCCGAUAUCUAAAGUUGAACUUCAUUCAAUGCUUAGAAGAAUGGCCGAUCUCUCAUUAACCUGUCCUUUAAUGAGAGUUACAGAACCUUUUGCCUCUGAGAUUGAGGCAAGGAGGGGCAGUGGCAAUAUUUAAGGAAAAUACUAUAUUUAAAUUAAACUUGCGUUGAAAGGUAUUGUUA